AGCCAGGCUCCUGGAAGCGCAGAAACAGGAGCAGAUUUGCAAAGGAGGAGAAAGCCCGGACGUGGAGGGCUCGAAGUGGGCUUGAACUGCUGGAGGUGCUAAGAAACGGUUUCCUUCCUCCUCAGAUCUCUCCGCAGUCUGCGACAGGCCAGUGUACGAUGCCUGCUAUGCUCCUGGGACAGCAUGUGGGGCGGGGCCUCCCAGGCAUGAGAGAUGGAAGAUACUCGAGUGGGCAUGUGAGGCCCAGAAAGCAAGCGCGCUGCUCCGAGUGAUGUCAUUGUGUCUACAGUGCUGUCGGGCCCUGGUGAUCUUCGCCUUCCCAGACAGUUUCCUCUUCUCUUCGUCACAAAACCCUGUUUGUUUUGUUUAAGAAAACCCGCCUGCUGACUCUUACGUAGUGUCAUGUAUUUUGUUGUCUGUGUUUCUAGGGCUGCUGCCAACCUCGGGGUGAUCAUGUGACCCCAAGGCUAGCCAGCAAGAGGACCUCAUUCCUCCACCACAGACAGCAGGACAGGGGUGGGCAUGGGGCCCGAGCCCACACAAAGCCCUGCCUGGGAUUUUGCUGAAGACAGAAGCACCCUGACCCUCCAAGUUGGGAGUUUCGAGGACCCCCUGAACUUAGAGCUCCUGGGCCGUCUUUCCCUGAGAAUGAAGCCAACACAGGCAGGAUUGAGCUUAGAGUCUGAAUUAGAUGGUGCCUAGUGACCGCCUCUGAACUCCUGGACCCAGCUACACCUGAAGCCACUCUACCCCACAUUUUCUAGGCAAGUCAACCUGCAAACGCCCUUCUUUUCUGAAAUGAGCUUGGGUUGGGAUUCUGUCACUUCAACCAAAAGGACCCCAGCCAUGCAAUGUUGCAAUAUCGAAGUAGGAUGGUCUAGGCUUUAUGAGUGGCAGACCGAGGCGGGGCAGGAAGAUGGAGGCUUUCUGGCUCCCAACAGGUGGAAGAGGGGAGUCUCCGGGGUGGCCAGAUACAUCUACAGACUCACUUGCCCCUGGGCUGUUCUCCAAAACCGCCGUGGAGGUGGGACUCCGACCCAUCUGAGCCUCUUCCUGACCUGGACCACCUGGGACAGCUGUGUUUACAGCAUCUGGGCCCUUGAGCGUGAGUGUCCCACCUCCCCGUAGGAUCAGGCCCCUGGGAAGGCAGGGGCCGAUUCUCUUUCUUCCCUCUGUGGCAGUCCCCCCAUCCCAUCACAGAGCGCCAUAGACGACAAGCUGUGGCCGUCGGUCUGGGGGUUCGAGCCCCCAGGCCCCACUCCACCCACUCCGAGGAUUGGCUUGGUGGGGCCGGUGCUGGCUCCCAGAGGCUGCAGGGCUCUGGAAGGAAAGGCCUUCUGCAGAGCAGGGCCCCUGUAGCCUGGCCGCCUGACCAGCCUGUGGGGAGGGAGGCGGCGGUGGGAAGCCCCUUGCUCUGCUGGCGCCCCUCCCAACGCCCAGGGCCUCUUUACCCAGCAUUUCUCUGCCGCUGUGACUGUGCCUAGACCUCGAGCUCAGAGAAAAGGCUGUUGCUGCCGGCUCAGCUGAAACCGCCUGGUGCUUUCUAUAGAAUCUUUGUGAGGAGCUAUUAUAGAAGGGACUGUUAUCAAAGAAUUAAUUACGGAAACUAAGGACUGCACAAAAAUAAUUAUUUCCAAACAAUGAGUGUACAGCCCUGAGAAUUCCAGUGGGAGUGGUGGCGAUCUACCCGGGUCUGUGGGCCUAGCCUGGGGUCACCGUACGUCGUGGCCUGUCUCCCUUCUUCUCCGGAUCCCCCACCCCAGGCCACGUGCCUCAAGGGACAUCUGGGAUGGAGGAAGCCAAGGGUCAGGCUGAAUCCUUCCUCGCCAAACAUGGACACGAUGCCUGGCACCCCCACUGAGAGUGGUCUGUGGUCCUCUCCGGUGAUCACUACAGUGUCUCUGAGAUAUCAUUGUCCCCAUUUCCCAGAUGGGAAAACCGAGGCUCCAAAUGGCUAAGAAACAUGCCCAAGUGUCUGAACCUGCAGGCAGCGGGCUGGGGCUCAGGCCUCGGUCUGUGUGGCCUCCUUAGUCAGUGGGGAGUGGGUGUGAGGGAAGCCCAGGUGACACUGGCCCAGCAGGACACACAGGACAGCAGGUGCAGAGGAACCCGCACCGAGGGACCCCACCCACAGGCAGCAGUGGCAUCUGCGGCAGGGAGAUUUACCUCUGUGCUCCCCGCACUGUCCCAUGAGUUGUCCAAGGACUGGGACCUGGGGUUGGGAGGGACACACAGCAGCCGUUGGCUGUGUUGCCAUGACACGACAGAGGUUCCAGCCACUAGCACAGGCCGCCUGUCCUGGGGAGACAGUCCUAUUUGUAACAUCUAUCUCAGCCUGAAUCGGGGAGACAGUCCUGUUUGUGACAUCUGUCUCAGCUUGAAUCGGGGAGACAGUCCUGUUUGUGACAUCUGUCUCAGCCUGAAUUGGAGAAGGUUUCCUACAGCAGAAGCAGACCCAGAGCAAGGGCAUCCCUGAUUCGGGAGGAAGCUGGCGUGCCGAAGGUCACCAGCAGGCACUGUGGACCCAGCCUUUGAGCUUGGACCCCGCCUGGCCCACAAAGCCCCGUGCUGCUUCCCAGGGCCCACGCGCAGGUUCCCGGACCUCCAGCUGCACCCUGGAGGGGGUGAGGGGGGCUCACUGUGUGGCGUGUGCCAGGUGGAGGGGCUGGCGUGGGACAGAGGGAUGGAGCUCGGGGGAAGACCAGCAGAUCCCUGGACACACGGGGUGAGGCUGGGCUGUCUCAGAUAGGCAGGACUAAAAGCAAGACAAGCAAGACAGAAGGGCUCAAGACUGGAGCAGCCAGGAAAUUCUGUCCAAGCCGAGUCCCUGGGUUUGCGAGACUUCACGCCACCUCACAGGGGUCGUCUGGGGUUGUGGUCUCUGGCCAGGAGGGUGCGGGAGCCUCUUUCUUCCAGCUCAGCUCGUGCUACACCAGAAAGGGAAGGGCAAGAGCACCCCCUCAACCCAGAGGACCCCCAGAUCAAGAGACCACCCAGGCUACAAUCAACUCUGAUGGCGCUUUUAAUCACCCCAGCAGGAGUGGCGACUGUAAACAGACAUUCAACAAUUCCCAGUGACACACAUACCUCCCGGGAAAAACCGCGUUUCCAUAAACCUUGCAGAAACGACUUGGAGAGCUUGCUGAGCGAGGGCCGCCUGGACACCAGUGUGCAGACGCCGUGUCCUCAGCACCCCCACACUCAGCUGUCCUGCGAGCCCCAGCCCCUGGAACACUCCAGCUGCCUCUCCACUUGUCUGGCGGGAUGUUUCCUCCCGGUGCCCUCAUCACCCCACACCCACCCUCUUCUCCCGGGCUCCCGAUGGCUCCCCCCACCACUUGCUCUGCUGAUGGGUACACUCUCCCCAGGUCUGGCUGUGAAGCCAUCCUGGGUGCCUCGGUUUCCCCUGCUGGCCAGGCAGUCACCAGCUACCUCAGUGGGAAUGCCACUCUCUGCCGCCACCCAGCCUGGGUCAGUGGGACGCCUGCACUUUCCCAAGUUGCGUUCCUCCAGCCCUUUCUCUGGACACUCGGAUGAGAACAAGGCUACUGGCCAAGGGCGUGAGAACAGGGAUCAGCCUCAGAGACCAUCCCAUCUCUGUGAGUGUCCUGAAGCUGCCAAGCAAAGUGCCACCAACGGGGUGGCUGAGACCAACAGAAGUGUAUUCCCUCUUGGUUCUGAGGCCAGAAGCCUGAGCUUAAGGCGUCAGGAGAGCCAGCCCCACUCUGGCAGCUCUAGAAGAGAAUCCGUUUCUUGCUCUCCCAGCUUCUGGUGUUGCUGGCAACCAUUAGCAUUCUUGACUUGUGGCUGCGCUGCUCCCAUCUCUGUCCCCGGGGUCACGCGGCCUUCUCCCCGGCCUUGCUGUGUGUCCCCUCCUCUUGUAAGACUCCAGUCACUGGGUUUAGGGCCCACACAAAUCUAGUAUGACCUCACCUUGACUUAAUCACAUCUGCAAAGGCCCUUCUUCCAAAUAAGGUCAUGUUCCCCAUUUCUGGGUAGAUGUAAAUUUAGGGGAGCUGCUAUGUAGCCCAGUGCCAUCCUCCUACAAACCCCAGGAUGGCCGAGGAAUCCAGUCUCAACUGAGAUGCAUCAGGCUGCUUAGGAUCAGAGCCCGGACCAUACUGAGCACUCACAUUCUCUCCUAAUAUUCUUUCAAGCAUUCCAGCAACAUCUAUUCCUGGAAACCCCAGGUCAAUCCCCCACCACCAGUGUUGCUGUUGCCUGGAGAAGAAAAUGCUCCAGACCCCUCCUUCCCAGCCUGCUGGGUUCCCUCCAACCCAGGCCCAGCCCCCUUCUCCAGGGAUUGAUAAGACGCCAUUUCCAGAUAUAUUGUUAAGUGGCAAAAGCAGACGGCAGUACGUAGUGACACAUCUUUUGUGUAAUAAAGUGUAAGGAUAUGUAUAUGUGCGUGUUUAUUUAUAGAUGCAAAAGAAAAGCACUGGAAAGAUAAAUCAGAAACUAAUAAAAAUGGUGACUUUACGUGUGUGUGGAGUUAGAAAUGGAAGCUAGCUGCUCUGGAGAUACUUGGCUUUAGUGUUUGAGUCCAGAACUAUGUGAAUGUUUCCCAUAUUCAAAACAAUUUGAAUUUGUUAAAAUUUAAGUUUAAAAGAGAGCAUCCUUAGAAAAGGAAACCAACAAAAGUGAAAAUUUAUAUAGAGUUUGUAACAUAACUAAAACAAAGACAAAAUUAUUUGAAGUAGUUUUACAGCACAGAAUUUAGGCUUUUUUUUUUUAACUGGUGGCGCGUAUUUUAAGGAUAAAAAGAAUGGCAAGGAAAUCGUAUGUAUCAUUCAGUAGGUCUUAGUGUUAGUGUUAAGUCU
rnacentral:lncRNA from 1 species